ensembl:misc_RNA
UUUGAAGAGAAGAAUUAGCCUUAUUCUGAUUUAGCAGCAGAGGUAAAAGAAAAGACUUCUGUAUUUUUGUCACCACUUACGUUGUCUGUAUUUAAAGAAUCAAAAAGCACACAUCAAAGGUGCAUUACCUUGGAAAGAGAUG